GUCUACGGCCAUACCACCCUGAACGCGCCCGAUCUCGUCUGAUCUCGGAAGCUAAGCAGGGUCGGGCCUGGUUAGUACUUGGAUGGGAGAUAAUAACAUGAUAUUUCUAAGGCAUGCUAGAAUAGUAACUC
rnacentral:rRNA from 1 species